rnacentral:rRNA from 1 species
GAUGAACGCUAGCGGCAGGCUUAAUACAUGCAAGUCGUGGGGCAGCGCAGUGUAGCAAUACAUGGGCGGCGACCGGCAAACGGGUGCGGAACACGUACACAACCUUCCUUCAAAUGGGGAAUAGCCCAGGGAAACUUGGAUUAAUACCCCGUAAUAUUAUGAAGUGGCAUCACUUUAUAAUUAUAGCUCCGGCGUUUGGAGAUGGGUGUGCGGCUGAUUAGGUAGUUGGCGGGGUAACGGCCCACCAAGCCUUCGAUCAGUAACUGGUGUGAGAGCACGACCAGUCACACGGGCACUGAGACACGGGCCCGACUCCUACGGGAGGCAGCAGUAAGGAAUAUUGGGCAAUGGACGCAAGUCUGACCCAGCCAUGCCGCGUGGAGGAUGAAGGUCCUCUGGAUUGUAAAC